AAAUAUGUUGUACUUUUCCCAUAUAAAAAAACAUCCUUUUAUCGAAAAUAUGGACAUACAGUGUUAUACUACCUCUUUGAUGGUGCAUGUGACACGUACUGCCUAAUCUACUGUUAAUAAACUGGAGAAAUGCAGCUAAAAUGUGUGACUAAUAUGAUAUAUGAUAUGACUUGCAGGAAGAAGAUUUGACAACCAUUCAUGGUCACUGUGACAGCCCUUUAAAUUCUUCAGCUGAUCGAGGGAUGAAUCCAUCUGGACACCAGAAUGAGGAAAUGGACCAGAGCUCUUCUAACUCUACAGUGAUCCUUGAACUAAGUUCCGUCCCUGAAAAGGAGGACAUAAGUGUUCCUGAACUCAAGAGAGCAGAAAGU